UCUAAUAUGGCAGAAUAAUGCAAUGAACUUAAGAUUCAAAGAUAAAGAAAAUCUUUUGUUAGAA
rnacentral:tRNA from 1 species